GGGUUGUGAGGUUAAGCGACUAAGCGUACACGGUGGAUGCCCUGGCAGUCAGAGGCGAUGAAGGACGUGCUAAUCUGCGAAAAGCGUCGGUAAGGUGAUAUGAACCGUUAUAGCCGGCGAUGUCCGAAUGGGGAAACCCAGUGCAAUUCGUUGCACUAUCGUUAACUGAAUACAUAGGUUAACGAGGCGAACCGGGGGAACUGAAACAUCUAAGUACCCCGAGGAAAAGAAAUCAACCGAGAUUCCCCCAGUAGCGGCGAGCGAACGGGGAGCAGCCCAGAGUCUGAAUCAGCUUGUGUGUUAGUGGAACGGUCUGGAAAGUCCGACGGUACAGGGUGAUAGUCCCGUACACCAAAAUGCACAGGCUGUGAACUCGAAGAGUAGGGCGGGACACGUGGUAUCCUGUCUGAAUAUGGGGGGACCAUCCUCCAAGGCUAAAUACUCCUGACUGACCGAUAGUGAACCAGUACCGUGAGGGAAAGGCGAAAAGAACCCCGGCGAGGGGAGUGAAAAAGAACCUGAAACCGUGUACGUACAAGCAGUGGGAGCACCUUCGGGUGUGACUGCGUACCUUUUGUAUAAUGGGUCAGCGACUUAUAUUCUGUAGCAAGGUUAACCGUAUAGGGGAGCCGCAGGGAAACCGAGUCUUAACUGGGCGUUAAGUUGCAGGGUAUAGACCCGAAACCCGGUGAUCUAGCCAUGGGCAGGUUGAAGGUUGGGUAACACUAACUGGAGGACCGAACCGACUAAUGUUGAAAAAUUAGCGGAUGACUUGUGGCUGGGGGUGAAAGGCCAAUCAAACCGGGAGAUAGCUGGUUCUCCCCGAAAGCUAUUUAGGUAGCGCCUCGUGAACUCAUCUUCGGGGGUAGAGCACUGUUUCGGCUAGGGGGUCAUCCCGACUUACCAACCCGAUGCAAACUACGAAUACCGAAGAAUGUUAUCACGGGAGACACACGGCGGGUGCUAACGUCCGUCGUGAAGAGGGAAACAACCCAGACCGCCAGCUAAGGUCCCAAAGUCAUGGUUAAGUGGGAAACGAUGUGGGAAGGCACAGACAGCCAGGAUGUUGGCUUAGAAGCAGCCAUCAUUUAAAGAAAGCGUAAUAGCUCACUGGUCGAGUCGGCCUGCGCGGAAGAUGUAACGGGGCUAAACCAUGCACCGAAGCUGCGGCAGCGACACUAUGUGUUGUUGGGUAGGGGAGCGUUCUGUAAGCCUGCGAAGGUGACCUGUGAGGGUUGCUGGAGGUAUCAGAAGUGCGAAUGCUGACAUAAGUAACGAUAAAGCGGGUGAAAAGCCCGCUCGCCGGAAGACCAAGGGUUCCUGUCCAACGUUAAUCGGGGCAGGGUGAGUCGACCCCUAAGGCGAGGCCGAAAGGCGUAGUCGAUGGGAAACAGGUUAAUAUUCCUGUACUUGGUGUUACUGCGAAGGGGGGACGGAGAAGGCUAUGUUAGCCGGGCGACGGUUGUCCCGGUUUAAGCAUGUAGGCUGGUUGUCCAGGCAAAUCCGGAUAAUCAAGGCUGAGGUGUGAUGACGAGGCACUACGGUGCUGAAGUAACAAAUGCCCUGCUUCCAGGAAAAGCCUCUAAGCAUCAGGUAACAUC
rnacentral:rRNA from 1 species